rnacentral:lncRNA from 1 species
UGUGGGGUGUGUGGAGACCGAGCCACUGGCUUUCACUUCAAUGCUAUGACCUGUGAAGGCUGCAAAGGCUUCUUCAGCGAAGCAUGAAGCGGAAGGCACUAUUCACCUGCCCCUUCAACGGGGACUGCCGCAUCACCAAGGACAACCGACGCCACUGCCAGGCCUGCCGGCUCAAACGCUGUGUGGACAUCGGCAUGAUGA